AUCCAACUGAAGAGUUCAAACUAGGACAAAACAAAUGUUCUGGAU
rnacentral:hammerhead_ribozyme from 1 species